CAGCAGCCGCGGUAAUACAGAGGGUGCGAGCGUUAAUCGGAUUUACUGGGCGUAAAGCGUGCGUAGGCGGCUUUUUAAGUCGGAUGUGAAAUCCCUGAGCUUAACUUAGGAAUUGCAUUCGAUACUGGGAAGCUAGAGUAUGGGAGAGGAUGGUAGAAUUCCAGGUGUAGCGGUGAAAUGCGUAGAGAUCUGGAGGAAUACCGAUGGCGAAGGCAGCCAUCUGGCCUAAUACUGACGCUGAGGUACGAAAGCAUGGGGAGCAAACAGGAUUAGAUACCCCGGUAGUCCCUGUCUCUCAUAA
rnacentral:rRNA from 1 species